AUUGAACGCUGGCGGCAGGCCUAACACAUGCAAGUCGAGCGGAUGAAGGGAGCUUGCUCCUGGAUUCAGCGGCGGACGGGUGAGUAAUGCCUAGGAAUCUGCCUGGUAGUGGGGGAUAACGUCCGGAAACGGGCGCUAAUACCGCAUACGUCCUGAGGGGGUAAGUGGGUGAUCUUCGGACCUCACGCUAUCAGAUGAUCCUAUGUCGGAUUAGCUAGUUGGUUGGGUAAAGGCUUACCAAGGCGACGAUCCGUAACUGGUAUGAGAGGAUGAUCAGUCACACUGGAACUGAGAAACGGUCCAGACUCCUACGGGAGGCAGCAGUGGGGAAUAUUGGACAAUGGGCGAAAGCCUGAUCCAGCAAUGCCGCGUGUGUGAAGAAGGUCUUCGGAUUGUAAAGCACUUUAAGUGGGGAGGAAGGGCAGUAAGUUAAUACCUUGCUGUUUUGACGUUACCAACAGAAUAAGCAACGGCUAACUUCGUG
rnacentral:rRNA from 1 species